rnacentral:rRNA from 1 species
CCUACGGGAGGCAGCAGUGGGGAAUUUUGCGCAAUGGGCUAACGCCUGACGCAGCAACGCCGCGUGGAGGAUGAAGGUCUUUGGAUUGUAAACUCCUGUCAGCGGGGAAAAAGCGACCGUACCUAAUACGUACGGGAGUUGAUUGUACCCGCAGAGGAAGCCCCGGCUAACUCUGUGCCAGCAGCCGCGGUAAUACAGAGGGGGCAAGCGUUAUUCGGAAUUAUUGGGCGUAAAGGGCGCGUAGGCGGCCUUGCAAGCGACGGGUGAAAUCCCUCGGCUUAACCGAGGAACUGCCUGUCGAACUGCUUGGCUUGAGACCGGGAGAGGUGAGUGGAAUUCCCAGUGUAGCGGUGAAAUGCGUAGAUAUUGGGAGGAACACCAGUGGCGAAGGCGGCUCACUGGACCGGUACUGACGCUGAGGCGCGAAAGCGUGGGUAGCA